UCUGGUGUCAGCCGCCGCGGUAAAACCAGCACCUCAAGUGGUCAGGAUGAUUAUUGGGCCUAAAGCAUCCGUAGCCGGCUCUAUAAGUUUUCGGUUAAAUCUGUACGCUUAACGUACAGGCUGCCGGGAAUACUGCAGAGCUAGGGAGUGGGAGAGGCAGACGGUACUCGGUAGGAAGGGGUAAAAUCCUUUGAUCUAUUGAUGACCACCUGUGGCGAAGGCGGUCUACCAGAACACGUCCGACGGUGAGGGAUGAAAGCUGGGGGAGCAAACCGGAUUAGAUACCCGGGUAGUCCCAGCUGUAAACUAUGCAAACUCAGUGAUGCAUUGGCUUGUGGCCAAUGCAGUGUUGCAGGGAAGCCGUUAAGUUUGCCGCCUGGGAAGUACGUACGCAAGUAUGAAACUUAAAG
rnacentral:rRNA from 2 species